GCCGUCGCUGCAUUCCUCGGCUACGUCUUUCUUCUCAUCGGGAAACCUUUUUACCGCCUUCACCUCCCCAGGGAUAGCCCUCUUACCAGACUCACACAGGUUGUAGUUGUCGCCGUCAAAAAUGCCCGAUUGUCUCUUCCCGAUAGUCCUAACGAGUUAUACGAAAUCAACGAAAAGGAUUCUGAAACAAGUGCACCCAAAAUUGCACAUACCCAAGAAUUCAGGUAACAUUUGCAAAUGAAAUUAAUUAAGCUUUGUAUAUAUGCAUAUGUAUGGUAAAUAAAAAGGAGGAUGAUGCAUGCGCAGGUGGUUAGACAAAGCAGCAAUCGUGGGCGCAAACACAGAGCCGUCAGCGUGGAAAGUGUGCACGGUGACGCAAGUGGAGGAAGUGAAAAUCAUAGCAAGAAUGGUGCCAAUCAUAGGCAGCACCAUAAUCUUGAACACAUGCAUGGCGCAGCUGCAAACCUUCUCGGUGCAGCAAGGAUACCGCAUGGAUGCGCAUCUGGGUUCGUUCCAAGUCCCCGCGGCGUCCAUCCCGGUCAUCCCUCUCCUCUUCAUGAUCAUCCUCAUCCCCGUCUACGACCGCCUCUUCGUCCCCUUCGCCCGCGG
rnacentral:lncRNA from 1 species